GCUGUGGCUCAGUGGAAGAGUAGUUGUCUUACAAGCUGAAAGUUGUAGGUUCGAUUCUUCCUCCUGCUACA